GAUGAAGAACGCAGUGAAAUGCGAUAAUUAAUGUGAAUUGCAGAAUUCAGUGAAUCAUCGAGUCUUUGAACGCACAUUGCGCCCCCUGGUAUUCCGGGGGGCAUGCCUGUCCGAGCGUCAUUGCUGCCCUCAAGAACGGCUUGUGUGUUGGGCUUCCGUCCCUGGCAACGGGGACGGGCCCAAAAGGCAGUGGCGGCACCAUGUCUGGUCCUCGAGCGUAUGGGGCUUUGUCACCCGCUCCCGUAGGUCCAGCUGGCAGCUAGCCUCGCAACCAAUCUUUUUAACCAGGUUGACCUCGGAUCAGGUAGGGAUACCCGCUGAACUUAAGCAUAUCAAUAAGCGGAGGA
rnacentral:misc_RNA from 1 species